UUAACACAUGCAAGUCGAACGGAAAGGCCCUGCUUUUGUGGGGUGCUCGAGUGGCGAACGGGUGAGUAACACGUGAGUAACUUGCCCUUGACUUUGGGAUAACUUCAGGAAACUGGGGCUAAUACCGGAUAGGAGCUCCUGCUGCAUGGUGGGGGUUGGAAAGUUUCGGCGGUUGGGGAUGGACUCGCGGCUUAUCAGCUUGUUGGUGGGGUAGUGGCUUACCAAGGCUUUGACGGGUAGCCGGCCUGAGAGGGUGACCGGCCACAUUGGGACUGAGAUACGGCCCAGACUCCUACGGGAGGCAGCAGUGGGGAAUAUUGCACAAUGGGCGGAAGCCUGAUGCAGCAACGCCGCGUGCGGGAUGACGGCCUUCGGGUUGUAAACCGCUUUCGCCUGUGACGAAGCGUGAGUGACGGUAAUGGGUAAAGAAGCACCGGCUAACUACGUGCCAGCAGCCGCGGUGAUACGUAGGGUGCGAGCGUUGUCCGGAUUUAUUGAGCGUAAAGGGCUCGUAGGUGGUUGAUCGCGUCGGAAGUGUAAUCUUGGGGCUUAACCCUGAGCGUGCUUUCGAUACGGGUUGACUUGAGGAAGGUAGGGGAGAAUGGAAUUCCUGGUGGAGCGGUGGAAUGCGCAGAUAUCAGGAGGAACACCAGUGGCGAAGGCGGUUCUCUGGGCCUUUCCUGACGCUGAGGAGCGAAAGCGUGGGGAGCGAACAGGCUUAGAUACCCUGGUAGUCCACGCUGUAAACGGUGGGUACUAGGUGUGGGGUCCAUUCCACGGGUUCCGUGCCGUAGCUAACGCUUUAAGUACCCCGCCUGGGGAGUACGGCCGCAAGGCUAAAACUCAGAGGAAUUGACGGGGCCCCGCACAAGCGGCGGAGCAUGCGGAUUAAUUCGAUGCAACGCGUAGAACCUUACCUGGGUUUGACAUGGAUCGGGAGUGCUCAGAGAUGGGUGUGCCUCUUUUGGGGUCGGUUCACAGGUGGUGCAUGCCUGUCGUCAGCUCGUGUCGUGAGAUGUUGGGUUAAGUCCCGCAACGAGCGCAACCCUUGUUCACUGUUGCCAGCACGUUAUGGUGGGGACUCAGUGGAGACCGCCGGGGUCAACUCGGAGGAAGGUGGGGAUGACGUCAAGUCCUCAUGCCCCUUAUGUCCAGGGCUUCACGCAUGCUACAAUGGCUGGUACAGAGAGUGGCGAGCCUGUGAGGGUGAGCGAAUCUCGGAAAGCCGGUCUCAGUUCGGAUUGGGGUCUGCAACUCGACCUCAUGAAGUCGGAGUCGCUAGUAAUCGCAGAUCAGCAACGCUGCGGUGAAUACGUUCCCGGGGCUUGUACACACCGCCCGUCAAGUCAUGAAAGUUGGUAACACCCGAAGCCGGUGGCCUAACCGUUGUGGGGGAGCCGUCGAAGGUGGGACUGGUGAUUAGGACUAA
rnacentral:rRNA from 1 species